rnacentral:lncRNA from 1 species
UUCUCUGAACCAAACACAGACGACCCAAAACGGUACCAGGAAUGGUUGGAGGUGCCUUCGGGCCCAAAUGCUCGCCCCAUGCUGGCCUUUUGUUAUUUGGUUAUUUUAUUUUAUUUCUAUUUAUUCAUUUUAAUUCUUUGUUUAUAUGUUUGGGCCACUGCAAGUCUAACAGUAGACAAGUCAUGGCCGAGUGGAGAUGGAGUUAGCUCAUCUCCUUCUUAGUGUUGGGUUUGAUUCCCACUUAUGGCAUUUUGUUUUUUUCUUAGCAUUUGCUUGUUACUUUUUCAUGUUUAUGUCUUAACCUAAUUGCUCUUAUA